rnacentral:rRNA from 1 species
AGAGUUUGAUCCUGGCUCAGAUUGAACGCUGGCGGCAUGCUUUACACAUGCAAGUCGGACGGCAGCACAGGGAAGCUUGCUUCUCGGGUGGCGAGUGGCGAACGGGUGAGUAACAUAUCGGAACGUACCGGGUAGCGGGGGAUAACUGAUCGAAAGAUCAGCUAAUACCGCAUACGUCUUGAGAGGGAAAGCAGGGGACCUUCGGGCCUUGCGCUAUCCGAGCGGCCGAUAUCUGAUUAGCUGGUUGGCGGGGUAAAGGCCCACCAAGGCGACGAUCAGUAGCGGGUCUGAGAGGAUGAUCCGCCACACUGGGACUGAGACACGGCCCAGACUCCUACGGGAGGCAGCAGUGGGGAAUUUUGGACAAUGGGCGCAAGCCUGAUCCAGCCAUGCCGCGUGUCUGAAGAAGGCCUUCGGGUUGUAAAGGACUUUUGUCAGGGAAGAAAAGGCCGUUGCCAAUAUCGGCGGCCGAUGACGGUACCUGAAGAAUAAGCACCGGCUAACUACGUGCCAGCAGCCGCGGUAAUACGUAGGGUGCGAGCGUUAAUCGGAAUUACUGGGCGUAAAGCGGGCGCAGACGGUUACUUAAGCAGGAUGUGAAAUCCCCGGGCUCAACCCGGGAACUGCGUUCUGAACUGGGUGACUCGAGUGUGUCAGAGGGAGGUGGAAUUCCACGUGUAGCAGUGAAAUGCGUAGAGAUGUGGAGGAAUACCGAUGGCGAAGGCAGCCUCCUGGGAUAACACUGACGUUCAUGUCCGAAAGCGUGGGUAGCAAACAGGAUUAGAUACCCUGGUAGUCCACGCCCUAAACGAUGUCAAUUAGCUGUUGGGCAACUUGAUUGCUUGGUAGCGUAGCUAACGCGUGAAAUUGACCGCCUGGGGAGUACGGUCGCAAGAUUAAAACUCAAAGGAAUUGACGGGGACCCGCACAAGCGGUGGAUGAUGUGGAUUAAUUCGAUGCAACGCGAAGAACCUUACCUGGUUUUGACAUGUGCGGAAUCCUCCGGAGACGGAGGAGUGCCUUCGGGAGCCGUAACACAGGUGCUGCAUGGCUGUCGUCAGCUCGUGUCGUGAGAUGUUGGGUUAAGUCCCGCAACGAGCGCAACCCUUGUCAUUAGUUGCCAUCAUUCGGUUGGGCACUCUAAUGAGACUGCCGGUGACAAGCCGGAGGAAGGUGGGGAUGACGUCAAGUCCUCAUGGCCCUUAUGACCAGGGCUUCACACGUCAUACAAUGGUCGGUACAGAGGGUAGCCAAGCCGCGAGGCGGAGCCAAUCUCACAAAACCGAUCGUAGUCCGGAUUGCACUCUGCAACUCGAGUGCAUGAAGUCGGAAUCGCUAGUAAUCGCAGGUCAGCAUACUGCGGUGAAUACGUUCCCGGGUCUUGUACACACCGCCCGUCACACCAUGGGAGUGGGGGAUACCAGAAGUAGGUAGGGUAACCGCAAGGAGUCCGCUUACCACGGUAUGCUUCAUGACUGGGGUGAAGUCGUAACAAGGUAGCCGUAGGGGAACCUGCGGCUGGAUCACCU